GGUUGGAUCAUUAAGGAUUUCAAACACGGGCGCUUCUAGCAGAAAUGCUAGACAGUGGCCUGCGGAUUCUAUCCGAUCCGUGCCUAUUGUCUUUUGUGUGUAUCCCGUUGCUUGACGGCGCGGGUUACUGUUAUCUAUCGAGAGGUUCUACGGGGUAGCUCCCGGAGGGCUUCUAAGGUUGGCUAGUCUAAAGUCUGUUCAUCCAGCACGGGUCGCUUUCUAGUAGAGCGGCCUAGAGCGGUGGGGAGAUGGUCCGGAGCUGUUUCUCUCUAGCGGAGGGACGCUUGCGAGGGCUAGCCGACACAAAACCUACAUGCCGUUCUUGUUGUUUUGUUCAAUAUAUACCACUUGUACAAGCGAAAGCUUUACAAAAUCUAUUACAACUUCUGACAACGGAUCUCUUGGCUCUCGCAACGAUGAAGAACGCAGCGAAAUGCGAUACGUAAUGUGAAUUGCAGAUCUUCGCGAAUCAUCGAAUCUUUGAACGCAUCUUGCACUUCUUGGUAUCCCAGGAAGUAUGCCUGUUUGAGUAUCAAUGGAAACCGUCCCAUAAACCUGUUGCCUCUAGCAUCUGCUAGCGGAAGGUGGUUGGGGAGUUGAGACGUCUAUCUCUCGCUUUGCGCUGAUAGUGUCUUUAAACCCAGUUUCUAUCCUGCCACUGUCGAGGAAGCUUUGUAGCCUGGCACGUCGCAAGGAGACUAUCAUUUAGUGAGGGAUUCUUCCCCUUCUAUCUCUAGUUUUCUGUCAAGCGCGGGCCGUUAGACAAGGGCUGUAGGCGACAUUCCCACGGUGACUUGUGGUAGACAUUGUAACCUUUGGUGAACCACUCUAGCAAUGGCGACCUUGGGACUCUAUGUUUGUUAUGUUUGCAGUCUGCAUUCAACAAGCACCCAACUUGGUCUCAAAUCAGGCAAGAAGACCCGCUGAACUUAAGCAUAUUAAUAAGCGGAGGAAAAGAAACUAACAAGGAUUCCCCUAGUAACGGCGAGUGAAGCGGGAAGAGCUCAAAUUUGAAAUCUCCCUAACGGGCGAAUUGUAGUUGAUAGAAGCGUUUUCGGGGGUAGGCUGGGCACAAGUUUCCUGGAAAGGUACAUCAUAGAGGGUGAGAAUCCCGUCUGUGGUCCAGCUCUGCUCCUAUGUGAUACGUUUUCUAAGAGUCGGGUUGUUUGGGAUUGCAGCCCUAAAUGGGUGGUAAAUACCAUCUAAAGCUAAAUACUAGCGAGAGACCGAUAGCGAACAAGUACCGUGAGGGAAAGAUGAAAAGAACUUUGAAAAGAGAGUUAAACAGUACGUGAAAUUGUCAGAAGGGAACGGCUUGAAACCAGUCUUGCGUCUGGAAUUCAGCCUCUCUAACGAGGGGUGCAAUUCGCUAGACGCAGGUCAGCGUCAGUUUGAGGAGAGGGAAAAAGACUAGAGAAGGUAGCCUUCGGGUGUUAUAGCUCUGGUUUCUACCUCUCUUUGGACUGAGGGCCGCGGCGUGAUACGGGGUUGGUGGGUUCCUGUAACCUACUAGUAAACUGCAUGCAGAUUGCUAGCAAGGCCUGCUUGAUUCCCUCUAGCUCCACACGUCUAGGAUGCUGACGAAAUGGUCUCAAACCACCCGUCUUGAAACACGGACCAAGGAGUCUAACGUAUAUGCGAGUGUAUGGGUGUCAAACCCCUGCGCGUAAUGAAAGUGAAACUGGUGUGAACCGCAAGGAGCAACAUCGACCGGUCUGGAUUUCUUUGAUAGAUCUGAGUAAGAGCAUAUACGCUAGGACCCGAAAGAUGGUGAACUAUGUCCGAAUAGGGUGAAGCCAGAGGAAACUCUGGUGGAAGCUCGUAGCGAUUCUGACGUGCAAAUCGAUCGUCAAAUUUGGGUAUAGGGGCGAAAGACUAAUCGAACCAUCUAGUAGCUGGUUCCCUC
rnacentral:misc_RNA from 1 species